rnacentral:rRNA from 1 species
CUGGGGAGUACGGCCGCAAGGUUAAAACUCAAAUGAAUUGACGGGGGCCCGCACAAGCGGUGGAGCAUGUGGUUUAAUUCGAUGCAACGCGAAGAACCUUACCUACUCUUGACAUCCAGAGAACUUUCCAGAGAUGGAUUGGUGCCUUCGGGAACUCUGAGACAGGUGCUGCAUGGCUGUCGUCAGCUCGUGUUGUGAAAUGUUGGGUUAAGUCCCGCAACGAGCGCAACCCUUAUCCUUUGUUGCCAGCGGUUCGGCCGGGAACUCAAAGGAGACUGCCAGUGAUAAACUGGAGGAAGGUGGGGAUGACGUCAAGUCAUCAUGGCCCUUACGAGUAGGGCUACACACGUGCUACAAUGGCGCAUACAAAGAGAAGCGACCUCGCGAGAGCAAGCGGACCUCAUAAAGUGCGUCGUAGUCCGGAUUGGAGUCUGCAACUCGACUCCAUGAAGUCGGAAUCGCUAGUAAUCGUAGAUCAGAAUGCUACGGUGAAUACGUUCCCGGGCCUUGUACACACCGCCCGUCACACCAUGGGAGUGGGUUGCAAAAGAAGUAGGUAGCUUAACCUUCGGGAGGGCGCUUACCACUUUGUGAUUCAUGACUGGGGUGAAGUCGUAACAAGGUAACCAAGGGCGAAUUCCAG